UGGUCCGUUGGUCAAGGGGUUAAGACACCGCCUUUUCACGGCGGUAACACGGGUUCGAAUCCCGUACGGACUAUUUG
rnacentral:tRNA from 1 species